GGAUUGUGGCUCAGAGGUAGAGCGCUUGCCUAAUAUGCGUGAAGCACUGGGUUCAACCCUUAGCACCA
rnacentral:tRNA from 1 species